rnacentral:rRNA from 1 species
GCCUAGUCGUAAAUAUUCACUUACGAUCUCUCGUCGCCCGGAACUACGAGCUCUAGCUUAAAUCCCAAAGGACUUGACGGUGUCCCACCCAACUAGAGGAGCCUGUCCUAUAAUCGAUGGUCCCCGAUAUACCCAACCUUUUCUUGCUCAUCAGUCUGUAUACCUCCGUCGCAAAUCUACCAUAUGAAUGAUACAUAGUUCGGUUCAACGAUCACUUCAUCAGAACGUCAGGUCAAGGUGCAACCUAUGAAAAGGCAAGUGAUGGGCUACAAUUUCUAACCUAGAACAAACGAAAUACUGCAUGAGACACAGGAACAAGGAGGAUUUAGAAGUGAAGAGAAAAUAACGAGUUCUCUUUAACAUGGCCUGGGACAUGUACACACCGCC